rfam:Desulfuromonadales bacterium C00003093 3730_contig_7957.2, whole genome shotgun sequence.
UCCCUGGCCUUUCUUAAGGCCACCCACAACUCUCUGAAAAACGGUUU